GCCUCGGUAGUCUAAUGGCUUAGGACGCUCGUAUGGAAUACAAGAGAUCCGGGUUCGACUCUUGGCCGAGGUA
rnacentral:tRNA from 1 species